rnacentral:rRNA from 1 species
UCUUAUGGAGAGUUUGAUCCUGGCUCAGGACGAACGCUGGCGGCAUGCCUAAUACAUGCAAGUCGAGC